UAGGGAAUCUUCGGCAAUGGACGAAAGUCUGACCGAGCAACGCCGCGUGAGUGAAGAAGGUUUUCGGAUCGUAAAACUCUGUUGUUAGAGAAGAACAAGGACGUUAGUAACUGAACGUCCCCUGACGGUAUCUAACCAGAAAGCCACGGCUAACUACGUGCCAGCAGCCGCGGUAAUACGUAGGUGGCAAGCGUUGUCCGGACUUAUUGGGCGUAAAGCGAGCGCAGGCGGUUUCUUAAGUCUGAUGUGAAAGCCCCCGGCUCAACCGGGGAGGGUCAGUGGAAACUGGGAGACUUGAGUGCAGAAGAGGAGAGUGGAAGUCCAUGUGUAGCGGUGAAAUGCGUAGAUAUAUGGAGGAACACCAGUGGCGAAGGCGGCUCUCUGGUCUGUAACUGACGCUGAGGCUCGAAAGAGUGGGGAGCAAACAGG
rnacentral:rRNA from 1 species